GACUUCAGCUUCAUCACCGGCUCCCUCCACUUGUCCGAAAGUAGAUUUUUUUUUUUUUUCUCCUUGCCCUUCAAGGGAAAAGUGUAAAUAAUUUUUUUAAUAUGUGUGGUUUUGGCAGGAUGUGGUUAUGGUGAUGGAGAUGCUGGUUUGCAAAUGGAGCUCCUCCAGAUUUGUACUCAAAGUGGCUUCUUCUCCAACAAUGGAUACGGCGGUGGCUGUGGAUGAUUGAUGAGUGCGACUUCUCUCUCGUUGGCUUUAGUCGUCUUGGAGUCUCCCUCUCUUGACUCGGUGGUGGAAGCUGGAGUUGAUUGAAAAAAAAAUUCUCCUCUUUGUGUGGCAUAUAGUUCUCAUUGCUCCUCCUUGUUCCAAUGUUGUAUGUGUUUCCCCAGCUGCUAGCUCCGUUCUCCUUUGACCCUGGAAGUCUCCAUCGAAGGUAGCUCAAUGGUGAUCCAGCUUCCCUAGUCUUCAGUUUAUUGUGUAUAGCUUUGGCUAUUGUAAUUGGAGAAACCAUUUUUUUCUGAUCGGUUUCUUCGUUGGCGGAGGCAGCUGGAGCUUUCACAGUAGGCAAGCAACGCAAUUCUUGGUUGAUGCUGGUUCAGAAAAACAGGUCAAGUAUUCAGCCAGGUCUUAGAGUUACUAGGUUUUUGGGCUUUUUCUUUUUGUAGGCUUUAAGAUCCUUUAUCCGAUGUGGUGUUGUGAAAGACCUUGAACCUUUUUUUUAUUAAU
rnacentral:lncRNA from 1 species